ensembl:lncRNA
GGGCAGGGCAUGUCCCUCCUUAACGCUUGGAGGGUUCUCAGUCACCAGCAUGGGCAGCCCUGCUGUGCCAAGUGUGUGCUGUCUCCCUGGACUCCAGCCAGCUUCCGGGGACCCCUACUCUUCCCGCGGGUGUGUAUACUGUAGGACCCUGGGCCUCCUGCCCUCCCAGAGUCAGCUUAGGACACAAGGGCUCCCACCCCGGCGAGGCCAUGGGGCAGAGGGAGGCCUGUUCCCUGUCUGGGUUGGGCCACCAUCCUCUGUUUGGACAACUGCCUUUUGCUGAACGACCUCUGCCUCUGAUGUCUUUUGGCAGGAGAGCCACAGACACUCCAGUUCGGGGCUUGUUUGUCUUAUGCUUCCCUGACCAGGGUUUUGGAGGCAGAAUGUGUAGAAAUAAGGAUGUAAGCUGGGGCAACCUACUCUGUUGGUUGUUCUGCCUCCUCCUCCAGGCUGUCAGAAUUUGUUGAGUUUCAGGUACACGCAGAGUGCAAGGAUAGGACACCGACGCGUGUCACCCAUCAGAGAAGCCCCAAACAGUACCCGUUUCUCCUCCCCGCCAGCAUCCCACCACCUCCAGUGUUUACAUGAGGAUUAUGUUUUGGAGCUGAUAAAUCUAAGAGUUUUAUUUCCCCCUUAAAUCAUGUGCUCUUGUAGCUUUCCAACUAUGUACUGGUGGCCUCGUAGAAGGAGAGGGUGGGGGCCACCCUGGACAGAGGGGCGCGCAGAGCUGGCCUGCGGAGUCCAUCACUAAACAAUGGUCGUGAAAGCCGGUCUUUCUCAAGACAGGAAAACGUUCUGAAUUCCUUUAGCUCCUCUGCAUACGUCCAGGUUCCAGUUUGGUCCUCGAGGAUUUGUAUGGGAAGUUUCCUCCAUCAGGAAGUGGAGGAGAUUGCUGCCCAUCAGUUCUGUUUGGAUGGGCUGAGCAGUGGCACAGGUUGCGUACCCCGGGAGGCUACUCUGGUUCCGACUUUAGAGUGCAGGAUGUUUAUUAAGGAGCACAUGGGAUCAACCCCUGGGGAAGGGAGGGGAGAGAAGCAGGUGUGGGCAAAGGGGGUGGCUGAGCAGUGAUGGUGAGACAGUGGCCUUGGACAGCCCCAGGUCAGAUCACUCUGAGCUAGAAGGACCCAUUAGAGUUACCCUCAUGGUUUGUGCUAUUGUGGUUUUGAAGCUGGAGUCCUGAAGACUAGAAUGGGAGAGGAAUUGUACUUCAGGGAGUUUGGAACAGAAGGUGGGAGCUGCUGCAGGUGUAAGGGAUGGGAGAAAGAAAGGGGUUCCAGGAAGUGCUGUGGCCCAGGUGCCCCUCAACAGUGUCCCAGAGAUGCCUUUGGCAGUCGCCCGACCAUGUCUCUGGCUGGGCUUGGACCACCUGGUCACGGCUUCAGCGGGUCACACGUGGCUGCAGGUCAUCUGGUCACCACGAAGUUCACCUGGGCUGGGCAAGACGAGGACAAGGACAGCACAGUGAGCUGUUCAUUUGGGUGAAUGAAUCCCAUUUGAAAAAUCAGCCUUCAUUCUGAAACUAUGCCCUUCUUGCUUUGGGGGUUGAAAUAUCCUUUUUUUCAGGAAAUAAUGGUGAUGGCAGAUGGUAGUUGCCUCCCUGGUUUUUCGUUUCCUUUUACGUUUCUUACUCAGUGGAAUACCAUGCUGAUGAGCUGUAUGGUUCCCUCAGUUAGGUGUUUUGGUAUUUUAUUGGUCCAUGAAAUUCAAAGACACAGGAGUCCUGAUCUAGUUCCUCAUUUGGAGAAGAGAGGGGGAGCCCCUGAGAGGAGUAGGCUGGCCUCGGGUCCUCUGGCCUGUGAAGGGGGCCGCUUCCUGAUGGCUUCCCUCGUCCUGCACAGUCUGCGCUGGCUUGCCUGCCUCUGCUCUCAUGAAGCCACUUCUUGGUCACCUCCUUGUUACACAGCUUAGUGGUUCAGUUGUGUCUGACUCUGUGACCCUGUGGACUGUAGCCUGCCAGGCUCCUCUGUCCAUGGAAUUUUCCAGGUAAGAAUACUGGAGUGAGUUCCCAUUCCUUCUUCAGGGGAUUUUCCCAACUCAGGGAUCAAACCCAAAUCUCCCACAUUGCAGGCAGAUUCUUUACCGUCUGAGCCACCAUGGACGCAUCUAUCUAUAAUAGGUAGAACAUAUCUAAUAAAGAGACAGAUGUUUGACAGAUAGAUAGAUGUGAAAACCUUAAACUAAUGGGAUUGGCAGUGGUGGGAUUUUAGGGAACUUUGAGUGGGCAGGGCAGUGUAAAACCUGGCACACUGGCACACAGUAGGUGCUCAAUAAAUCUCAGAUGAAUACAUGAAUAACAAAUAAUGAAUAAAGUUUAGAACAUCACUUGGUCAGGGGUGAUGGGAGUAGCAUUCUUAUUUUCACAGAAUCUAAAACUUAAACUAAAAAAACAUGUCUGUGUAGGUCAGGCAGAGCUUUUGGAGGAUGCUGAGUGUUUCCACAGCAUCUUAGGAUUUAUUCCUCAGUUUGCCCCACCUUGUCCACAAGAGGGUCCCAAGAUGUGGCCCCUUUAGAAGAUG